rnacentral:lncRNA from 1 species
CCAGAACUGGGCUUGACCUGAUUGUUCCCUGGGCAGCAGCUGGAGCAGUGAACCGCUGGACUGUUAUUCUCGGGCACGUUGCUUCCUGAAUUAAAGCAGUAAUGCAUCAGGAAACUCCAUUGUUAAUCAGAAGCACGUUAAAUCAAACGGACAUACAUAAAAGCAACAGCCGAGGUCUGUCAGCCUGGUGGACUUGCACAGCAGAAACCUAUAAAAACAUUUUACAAGAGGGACAAGCCAUUUACGGUAAUACUGAGAAUUUUAUGUGCUGUGCAAUUAUCCAAGCUCCGGUGUCACCUUUUGACAUGACUGAUGACUGUCUGAGGCUGCAAAUCCAUCUUACAUCAUUUAUUUCCCCAAAUAAAAUAAAGAGAAUUAACAUCUGGGAGGAACUUUAAGAGGCUUUAAGAACUCUUCCUGAGAGAAAAUGAUAUACCCUGUGAGAGCAAAGAGCAGACUGAAGAUUUCUAAUGCCAUAGAAGGUAUUGAAGACUUAAAAAACAAAAACAAAACAAACAAACAAAAA